UACGAAGGGGGCUAGCGUUGCUCGGAUUUACUGGGCGUAAAGAGCGCGCAGGCGGUCGAUCAAGUCGAGUGUGAAAGCCCCCGGCUCAACUGGGGAGGGUCAUUCGAUACUGAUCGACUCGAAGGCAGGAGAGGGUAGUGGAAUUCCCGGUGUAGUGGUGAAAUGCGUAGAUAUCGGGAGGAACACCAGUGGCGAAGGCGACUACCUGGCCUGUUCUUGACGCUGAGGCGCGAAAGCUAGGGGAGCAAACGGG
rnacentral:rRNA from 1 species